rnacentral:lncRNA from 1 species
GACCGUUAGAUUUUACGAUGAAAAACAUGAUAAAUUAUAAAACGAAGAAAAUCUUGAAAAAAAUCAAUAAAAAAGUAAACAUAUUCCAAGUAAAAACGUAAGUAAUCGAACACUAAGCUUAUAGAUAAUAAGCAUUGCAUGUAAGUUAAUAAAUGUGUUUAUAAAAGUGCUUACCGAAACCUGGAUACUUCAUGUGCUUUAAAAUCAUUAUUUCCUAUGAAUCAAUAACAAUCACUGAUUCCUUGAUGUCUUCUGAACAUUUUAUAAAAACUUUUUUAAUUUAUAUCUUUGAUUUAUUCAUCGAUGAUCACAAUACGAUUGAGGACUUUAAUUGUAAAAUAACACAACGGUUAGAGUUUCCUAACUAGUAAAUCAUCAGAUUUCAAUAUUAUGUUCUGGUCAAUACGCCGAAAAAUUGUCCAUAAGCACUCAUGUUUGUUAUUCAACAAAACUAUAUGUAAGUGUACCCAAUUCUAGAUGUCAGGUAUAUAUUUGAUAAUAAUAUAUUUGUUAUGCGUAUAUAACUAUACCACCCUACCAGGAAUGAGGAAAUAUACAUGUUUCAUCAUGCUUCAAACUUAAAAAUAAAUGUUAUAAUAUAAAAUAUGACGUAUUUUUAAAUUGAUCCUUUAGUUUGUUUCGUUUAAAAAUCAUUGAUGAUUUCCCCUGUUCAUAUUUCGUUAUCUAAUAUAAUUCUUCCGUAUAAAAUGUUUUUGGUUUCAUUGUAUUCCCAUAAAAAAAAACCGAUAACAAUAUAUAUAAACUUAUAAUUUUGAGAAUUUGUUGAAAUAUUUUAUUACUCCUAGAAAUAAAAAAAAGUAGCAGAUUUUUUUUUUUCAUACAGAAAAAAAUCGAAGGGAAUGCAAAACUCUCCUCGAAUGUGUAGUUACAUUAUGAAAACAAUUGACCACAAUGAUGUAGAAUUUAUUUUCAGAAAAACAAAACAAUUUUUAAUCAUGUUAUUUUAUUCUUUUUUCAAGUUUUGAAUAAAUCAUUGAAACGAGUAUCUUUAAUAUGAAAUGCAAAUAUAUCAUCCGCUAAUAUAUCAUAAUUCGGAAUUAGAAACACAAACUUUGAAUCCAUCUGUCUCAUUUUUGUUCUAUUAUAGGCAAGACCAGUGAAGAUAUGGAGAAUAGGCAGUACCCGUCCAAUCUGUGACGUUCGCAUAGGACGCACACAACUUAUUGAGGGCAUUCUGCUAUUGAGGGGAUUUAUAGAAAUUCCUGUGAAAUUUCUGUUCGGAAGGAACAUUACAAAUUAAUUGCAAAUUUGACGUUUUUGGAUGACCAAGAGUAAAGUUAUUGAACUAUGAUGAAGAUAAAGAAACAUCGACGCUAACGUCUUAUUCUAACUCUGUUUAUGUUACUUAAGUACUUUUAACUAUCCAAACAACGCUUGAUUCAUGGCAGUAUUUGUAAUUUCAUUAAUAAAAAUUAUUUGUUUGCUUAAAUGUUUUAUUGAAGGAUAGAACAUUCCCUUAAUCACAAC